ensembl:lncRNA
AUGGGAGGCCAGUGUGAAGCGAGUUGGACAGCUCCUCGCCCGGGUGCCCUUCCCGGCUGCCGCACAAGCGGUGCCCGCGCGGCCCAGGGAAGCGGCCGUUCGCCUCGGCCCCAGGCCUCGGGCCUCGGUACCGGCGGGGCCCGGCCCGGCCCGGAGACGGCCCGAGCCAGGGAAGGCCCGAGCCAGGCCCUGCCGCAGCCGGGGAGCUCGGGUGCCCCCCCGAGGCCAGCCGGCACCGGGCUCCCCCCGCAGCGAGCCCCGAGCACGGUCCGCACCGAGGGCAGCGGCCCGCGGGCCCCGCCCGGUGGUUCCGCCCAUGGCGGCGCCCUUCCCGCCUCUCCCGCCCCGCGCCGAGCGGAGGUCUCGCGAGAUCCGCCCCGGGUCAUGCGCCUGCGCAGUGCCGCGGCCCAGGGGAAAGGGGCGGAGCCUCUUCACCGCCGCCUCACGGUUCCGCCGCCAUCUUGUUUCUCGGCCGCUGGGCGCUCGCUCCGCUCUGGUCGCCCCCUCCCCCUCCUUCCCGCCUCCCUUCAGCCGGGCCGGAGGCAGCGCGGGCGCCGGGCGGAGGAGGCGGAGGUCGCGGCGCUGGCUGCCCCGGUUGCUGCACAGCCCCACAAAUGUUCUCGCUGGAUCAGCAGUAGAAGGAGCUCUGAGCAGCAGUGCCACCAAACGUUGAACUGUGACUCAUAUCUGACCAGUGCUUCCUUCUUUGAAGAUGCCAACUUACACUGGCCCCGUUUGUGUGGCUGCUUUUGAGCCCGAUGUGCUCAGUGAGCCUGUUCACUACGGGUGUCUCCACGAAGGAUUCCACAGAAGUUUUGUCAGAUGGUGCCCUCCACCCUAAACCCAGCAAACAGGAGUGUUUGUAGGUUUUUUCAUACAAAGAAGCAGGGGGAGAGGGAAGAGGUGUCUCGUGGGUUUCGUCUGUGAUGUCUGGCCAGGGAUUUCUGCAAUAUUACUUCCAUUCUGGUAUUUUAGAUUGCUACCUCUCCUAGUGUCAAAUACUGCUGCAUGUGCUGUGCGAGCAGCAGCGCAGACAGCUCUUCACAAACAUUGUAGUGAUUAAAAACAUGGAGAUGUCCUGGUGAGCACUUACAGGCAAAGUUAGAUCAAAUGAAAACAAACCACGUAGCCUUGCAGGUGACUACUGUAUUGCUGGAGCCAAACUCGCGUGUUGCUGACAGAGACAGUGGGUAGUUGUGCCAAGAGCAUCCAGCUCUGCUUGGGAAGGAGCCCCAGGAGGUGUCUUCCUCCCUCUGCAUCAGUGCUGCAAUGGCGGGCUGUUUGAGGGCUGUGCACGCACCAUGCGUGUGUGCGCACAUGCACGUUGUGCAAGUGCGUGCACCUUAUGUAUGUGCAUAUGCAUGAUGUGCAAGUGCACGCACCUGGUACGUGUGCACAUGCAGGUCGUGCAAGUGCAUGCACCUUGCACGUGUGUGUGCCCGUGCAAGUGCGUGCACCUUACGUGCGUGCACAUGCACGUCGAGUAAGCGCAGGCACCUGGCGCGUGCCCACGCGCAGCGUGUGUCCGCGUGCGUCCCCGCACGUGCCGCGCCGCCGACGCCCGCGCGCUGCCCCGUGACCCGCCGGUGCGCUCGGCGCCCCGUGACGCGGCGCGGGGGGGGGGGGCUGCAGGAGUGACAGCCUGGCGAGCCAAUCGGGAGCCGCGCCACGGCCCCCCCCCCGGCUGUUUGAAUAGGAGCCGGGCAGCCAAUAGGGGCCGGCGGGGCGGGCGGUGAGGCUCAGCAGGCCGCGG